GAACCAGCAGAGAAAAUCGUGUGACUCAUCUGAUUCCAUCAGUAGGCUUCUGUGGGGGAAUCCUGAAAAAAGGAUAUAGCUUGUCAUGGACUCUUUCUUCUGAUAAAGCUCGCUGUGCUGGAAACAUUAAUAGCCUACGACUUGCUUCCAGAGAUGGGUACUAUCAUUAUCUGCAUUUCACAGAGGCAGACACCGAAGCACAGUAAAAUUAAGUACCUUCCUGGAGAUUACAUGGAUUUA
rnacentral:lncRNA from 1 species